CUUUCCUCAGUUUAUGGUUAUUCACAAUAAAUGAUGUAAGGCCCUUUGAAUAAGAACUGGGAAUCGUUACAUCACAAUGCUUGCUAUGGCUUUGCAAAGUCCUUCCUCCUAGGGAACUAGUCUUUUUCAUCCAUGGGUUCUGGAAGUGAAACCUGCCUUAGAUCAUGAAACUGGUGGGGGUUGGGGAGGUGGGAGCUAAACACUGGAACACAUGGACACAAAGAUGGCAGCAAGAGACACUGGAAACUACUAGAGAGAGAAGGAAAGGAGCAGGGCAAACAUACUACGCCCAGGACCCGGAAGACGGGAUUAAUGAAACCCCAAACCUCAGCGUCCCAGGUAACCCAGCCUUCCCUUUGCCUUCUUCGUGGGACUGUAAAAAGUUAUUGAUACAAUGGUCCAAAAUGGACGGCCAGAGAUCUAUUACAGCAAAGAGAGUGUUUGGCUGGGAAAGCCUGAAUUUGAGCUUCACAGCUCAUAAAGCUUGA
rnacentral:lncRNA from 13 species